ensembl:snoRNA SNORA70 Small nucleolar RNA SNORA70
CUGAACUGAACUGAAGCCCACUGUGCGCCUUUCCCGGGGGAGUCUAGAGUGCAAUAGCUGCAAACAGCAGCCUCCUCCAUAGUUUUUGCAGCCUGCUGCCUGUAUGGGUUGCUCUAACAGACCCUGCAGACAGCC